AUUGAACGCUGGCGGCGUGCCUAACACAUGCAAGUCGAGCGGUAACAGGUGUAGCAAUACAUGCUGACGAGCGGCGAACGGGUGAGUAAUGCUUCGGAAUCUGCCCAUGUAGUGGGGAAUAACCAGCCGAAAGGUUGGCUAAUACCGCAUACGACCUACGGUGAAAGCAGGGGAUCGCAAGACCUUGCGCUAUUGGAUGAGCCGAAGUCGGAUUAGCAGUUGGUAGGGUAACGGCCUACCAAGGCGACGAUCCGUAGCUGGUCUGAGAGGACGACCAGCCACACUGGGACUGAGACACGGCCCAGACUCCUACGGGAGGCAGCAGUGGGGAAUAUUGGACAAUGGGGGCGAACCCUCGAUCCA
rnacentral:rRNA from 1 species